CCUCCCCCUAUUUUCCCAUUCACUCGUUCCUCCCCAAAAAAGUACAAUACAAACUUAAAAAAAAMCCCAAAAAAAWUUCAAGUCUAUAARAAAACGAUGUCAGAGGUUCGAGAUUUUUACUUAGUGAGAUUCACUCASRCACCAGAUUUU
rnacentral:misc_RNA from 1 species